rnacentral:rRNA from 1 species
ACGGGUGAGUAAUACAUCGGAACAUGUCCUGUAGUGGGGGAUAGCCCGGCGAAAGCCGGAUUAAUACCGCAUACGAUCUAUGGAUGAAAGCGGGGGACCUUCGGGCCUCGCGCUAUAGGGUUGGCCGAUGGCUGAUUAGCUAGUUGGUGGGGUAAAGGCCUACCAAGGCGACGAUCAGUAGCUGGUCUGAGAGGACGACCAGCCACACUGGGACUGAGACACGGCCCAGACUCCUACGGGAGGCAGCAGUGGGGAAUUUUGGACAAUGGGCGAAAGCCUGAUCCAGCAAUGCCGCGUGUGUGAAGAAGGCCUUCGGGUUGUAAAGCACUUUUGUCCGGAAAGAAAUCCUUGGCUCUAAUACAGCCGGGGGAUGACGGUACCGGAAGAAUAAGCACCGGCUAACUACGUGCCAGCAGCCGCGGUAAUACGUAGGGUGCAAGCGUUAAUCGGAAUUACUGGGCGUAAAGCGUGCGCAGGCGGUUUGCUAAGACCGAUGUGAAAUCCCCGGGCUCAACCUGGGAACUGCAUUGGUGACUGGCAGGCUAGAGUAUGGCAGAGGGGGGUAGAAUUCCACGU